rnacentral:rRNA from 1 species
GGACUACAGGGGUAUCUAAUCCUGUUUGAUCCCCACGCUUUCGUGCAUGAGCGUCUGUAUUAAAUUCGUUGCCUGUCUUCACGAUCGGCGUUCUGUGACAUAUCUAAGCAUUUCACCGCUACACAUCACAUUCCGGCAACGUCAUUUAAACUCUAGUCAAGCAGUAUCAAAGGCAGUCUUGCAGUUAAGCUGCAAAAUUUCACCCCUGACUUACCUGUCCGCCUGCGCACCCUUUAAACCCAAUAAAUCCGGAUAACGCUUGCAUCCUCCGUAUUACCGCGGCUGCUGGCAC